rnacentral:rRNA from 1 species
AUUGAACGCUGGCGGCAGGCCUAACACAUGCAAGUCGAACGAGUGGCGGACGGGUGAGUAAUGUCUGGGAAACUGCCUGAUUGAGGGGGAUAACUACUGGAAACGGUAGCUAAUACCGCAUACCCUCGGAUGUGCCCAGAUGGGAUUAGCUAGUAGGUGGGGUAACGUCUCACCUAGGCGACACUCCCUAGCUGGUCUGAGAGGAUGACCAGCAAGAUUGGACUGAGGACACGGUCCAGACUCAUACGGGAGGAGGCAGUGGGGAAUAUUGCACAAUGGGCGCAAGCCUGAGGCAGCCAUGCGGCGUGUAUGAAGAAGGCCUUCGGGUUGUAAAGUACUUUCAGCGGGGAGGCGUUACCCGCAGAAGAAGCACCGGCUAACUCCGUGCCAGCAGCCGCGGUAAUAC